CGUCGGUUCCCUCGCGACGGUCAGCCGUGAACCCCGCCAGACCCGGAAGGGAGCAACGGUAGCGGUGCUACCGGGUGCCGGGGUGUGGCUGGCGCGG
rnacentral:SRP_RNA from 1 species